rnacentral:lncRNA from 1 species
AGGCAACCCAAAUUUUUUUUAUUUUGUUUUAACUGAUCUUCAUUUUUUUUAAGAAUAAAGGACUGCUCUGUAUGGAAGAGUCUGUCAAUAAACUUGACGUCUGGUUGAAGACGUAAAACUUAGCGCUUGUUGGGAGGCAACCCAAUGAUUUCAUAUUUUUUUUACUUUACUGCAGCUGCAGGAAUUUAGAACAAGAGCCUAUUAAUCAAUGA